AUGCAUUUGUGCUAACCGGUCUGAUACCGUUUUCUGUCUUCGUUGGGUGUAUUUGAACUUUCGGUGUCUCUACUAUCUGGCCUGUCAGUCUGUCUCUUCCUUCCUCUGUUUGUCUUCAUGUCUCUAUCUACAGCUUUGUAAGUCAUUCAGUCAGUCAAUCAGUUACACUUGUCUGCUCUCUCUGUCUUAUCAAGCCUGCGUCUCUGUCUACAUGACAGCAGAAGCAGCAACAUCAGUCUAGUUUUCACUCUCACGCUGCCUUCCUCAAUGAUCUAAGUCUGUUUCGGGUGACUCAGUCAUCUGCUUGCUUGCUCUACGUGUAUCGCUGGGAACGGUUCUUCUUCUGAACCACAGGGUUCACGAGCGGGAGGUCAUUCUGUACCAUUACGCCAGGAAAGGAAAGAAGCUGCAGGGGACGAAAGCCAGGCAGAGGUGUUUGAAAAAUGGACUUUGAAAUAGAAAAGGUCCCGGCCAAAGAGCGUGAGAAAUGGAGUUUGAAAUGAAAAAAUCAGGAGGGGGGAUGUGGAGCUAGAGCUGGCGAACACCUGCUCCCCGUCUGACGCCGAGAGAGAUCAGGUCCCCUGACUCCAACUGUGAAAGCGGACCACACCACGGUAAUGGUGCCCGCCCAGUACACCGGAACCAGCACCAACUGGGCAACAUGGACAAUGGCCGGGGAUAGGAUUGGCAGGCACUGUGGAGACAGGUGACUUGUAAAAACCAUUAUAUGUAGAGUAUGUCCUCACUUACAAACAUGCACACACAUUAUCAACACCCAUGGAAACCCACACAGGCACACGCAGAGUUGUGAUUCUAUAUACGUACAAAACCCAAACCCGUACACACUCACAUUAGUAGAUAUCUUUAUAUUAUUACAGAAACCAACUCACAACCUCAUACACACACACACACGCACAAACACACAGACACACACACAGUCUUGUUCGUAUAUAUGUACGUGCACACAUGUUCACGUGAACUUGUCCUCUCCAUACCCCUGUGGCUGCGGCCUCUAUAUGCUUUCACGUCACUCCAUGGGCUCGCUCUCAAGAAGCACUGCACGUUCCCAACACCCCUGUCUCCUCAAGCGUAAAAAACUCAGACUUUUGAAACAUAGCGUCUUGGCCGUUUACCAAUAAAACAUUUCAAUAAUUAAUUAGACACGCACACACAUAAAUAUGUGAUUGAAGCUGGAGUCGCCGCAUUGCACUGAAGGCUGCUGAGGUCAGCAUUAAUACUGCAGCUGAAGCUAUCUCUGCUUUGUGACAUGUCAACAGGGUAGACUAGAGGUAAACACAGAGGGGGAGAGAUAAGGGCAAAUGUCAUUUAGUUUGUAUGUGAAGAGAAUGCAGAUGACACUACACGCGCACACACACACACACACAUACUCUCUCUCUCACACACACAUUCUGGUAGGGACUCAAAAAACUGAUGUCUGUGUUUGUUUUAAAAGUUUACAACGGUUGCGUGAGGAAUCAAGAACAUGCACACAUGUGUAUAGUCCUGGUGAAUGCCAAAAUGUGGUUAUAUAGUCCAUAAACUAGCCUUAAGUCAUUGUAUGUUAUAUCUAAAUAUAGUAGAUACUCCUCUGCUUAAAGUUCUUUGAAGAAAUGUGUCCUCUUUGAACCCAUAUCUCUGUGAUUGGCAAAGGCCUGAGACACAUCAAAACAGAUUACGUGCAGAUUACCGAUGAGGAUCUGGAGUGUUCAGCAUCUCUCAGGGUUAUAUUUGUUUCCAGCAUAACGCUUCAUGUUCCGCUGUUUGUUUGGUAACAUGUGCUCCGUUAAUCCCUGAAGUGUCAUCUAGGGUUAAGCUUUAGUGUUUUAUGCUGUUCGGACAGAAUGUGAAAUGGGUUUUGACGACGUGCCAUGUGUUCUUCCUCUGCUGCUGCUGCUCCUCCUCCUCCUCUUCCUCCAUGCCCAACGCCACUCUGUGGACCACAGGGCCUUCCACCUCGGAAGACUUGGAAAUGUUGAUAAAUAAAUCAAAUAAAAACGCUCCACGGCUGAUGUGCCUGCUCAGUUGAGGUUUGCGAAUCAAACGCGCUGCCGUGUCAGUCAGAGGAGCAAAGCUGACACAUACACACUGCUGUUGUUUACGACACGAGAGGCUUUCAGGUUCUUAAGGAGUGUUGCAAAUGAAAGAAACGUUUCUGGUCAUGUGAUGUUAGUCUACGUGCCGGUAGAGAUGCUCCUGGAGUAGGUCAUCUGAAUUAAAUGUAAACGGCACAGCCCUCUUAUCUUUCCUUGAUCUUUUAUACUAGGUUUUUUCUACUAAGGCUGGAAACCAGAUUACAAGACAUUACUUUCACUCAGAAAGUGCAAUACGAAAGCAUCACUUUAAGGAAGACGUAUGCAUAACAAAGGAAGCAGAUUAUUUUGGUGAUUGGAUUCAUUUUCCAAAACUAAAUAGACCUGUCCUGCCCACAAAUACAGUGGAGUAAGAUGAUUUGGCACCAAUGAGUCAUCUAAAAUUGGCCACAUAAACAAUAUGCUGAGUAAAUAAUCCUUUUUAGAAUUUGAGAUUAAAAACUGGAAAUCUUAAUGUCACAGUUGAUAUCCAAUCACAUAUGGAGAUUUAGAACUUGAAAGCCCUCAAGUCCACAAUACAGAGAUAUCACCGACUUAAUUAACACAUUAAUAAUUACAAAUCACAGAAUUCCAAUUCUACUGCACCCAAACCUAAUUCUUGGUAUUUUAAAGCUAAUAUAUUUGCUACAAAAAAAGAAUCCAAUAUAAUUGUACAGGGCUCUCCUAAAAGACUGAAUGUUUGGCAAAUAGUGUUGCUUAGGACCGAUUUCUCCCAUGCUGUUGUGGAGAGGUAGGGGAAUGUAUUCAUGUGUGUGUGUGUUCCCAGAUAGCAUGUAGCGCUGGCUUGUAUCUCUUCAAGAGUCCACUACUAACUGGGUUAGAGUGGUGUUUAUUAGCACAUCCGAGAUAGUAUGGUCACUGACGAAGAGGGACUGUGUUCAUGAGGUCACUUACUGACCAUUUAUCUCACUCCCGUUUCAUUGCCACGACCUCUGGUGUCUCGCUCCUCUCCGAUUAAGCAGCUGUUGAAUGAAGUUUUUUUAUGCCAGGAGGUUUAUUUUUCUGUUGAGGAGGGCAGCUUGACGAUCCAGGUCACGUGUGGGUCAGGCAACGCCACUGAACA